UACGAAGGGGGGCUAGCGUUGCUCGGAAUCACUGGGCGUAAAGGGUGCGUAGGCGGGUCUUUUAAGUCAGGGGUGAAAUCCUGGAGCUCAACUCCAGAACUGCCUUUGAUACUGAAGAUCUUGAGUCCGGGAGAGGUGAGUGGAACUGCGAGUGUAGAGGUGAAAUUCGUAGAUAUUCGCAAGAACACCAGUGGCGAAGGCGGCUCACUGGCCCGGAUCUGACGCUGAGGCGCGAAAGCGUGGGGAGCAAACAGG
rnacentral:rRNA from 1 species